GAUGAACGCUGGCGGCGUGCCUAACACAUGCAAGUCGAGCGAUUUACUUCGGUAAAGAGCGGCGGACGGGUGAGUAACGCGUGGGUAACCUGCCCUGUACACACGGAUAACAUACCGAAAGGUAUGCUAAUACGAGAUAAUAUGCUUUUAUCGCAUGGUAGAAGUAUCAAAGCUCCGGCGGUACAGGAUGGACCCGCGUCUGAUUAGCUAGUUGGUAAGGUAACGGCUUACCAAGGCGACGACCAGUAGCCGACCUGAGAGGGUGAUAGGCCCCAUUGGAGCUGAGACACGGUCCAAACUCCUACGGGAGGCAGCGUUGGGGAAUAUUGCACAAUGGGCGAAAGCCUGAUGCAGCAACGCCGCGUGAGCGAUGAAGGCCUUCGGGUCGUAAAGCUCUGUCCUCAAGGAAGAUAAUGACGGUACUUGAGGAGGAAGCCCCGGCUAACUACGUGCCAGCAGCCGCCGUAA
rnacentral:rRNA from 1 species